AAAAAAAACCAACCGGCCGCCAGGCACUCUCUCUCUCUCUCUCUCGUCUCAUUGACUCCUCCAUCUCUCUUCUCCGACGCGUUUUAGGGUUUGUUUUCCUUGUUCGGUUUUGUAUCUGAAUUUUCAGAAAUUUCCCAAUUCGUUACGCUUUUGGAAUUCUUAUCUCUUUAGGAAAGUUCUCUGCUUUUCGAUUUCCUUCCGUUAUUAGGGUUUCGGCUAUGUCUUUACUGUAAAAGCCUUUCCUCUUGCCCUCUUUUCGUAGAUUCUAGGGUUUGGGUUCAAGAUCCUGCGAUCUUUCUAGUGGAAUUCUAGGGUUUUCUGAUUUUGUUCGAAAGGAUUUUAUUUUAUUUUUUUUCAAUUUCGUUUUGGGGAUGCUGAGAUGGUGAGUUCCGAGGGAUUGAGUGCUCCGCUGUCGCUUCCUCAAGUGGCAGCGAGGCAGUACGGAGUGACAAAGCCAAUAUCGACUGCCGGGCCGACGGAAGUCGAUAUUCUGAGGACAUUAGAGUUGGAGAAGUUUUUGGUUGAUGCUGGGCUUUAUGAAACCAAAGAAGGAGUUGCCAAGAGAGAGGAGGUUCUUCGGCGUAUCGAGCAGAUUGUCAAGGAUUGGGUGAAGCAACUUACUCGCUUGAGAGGGUACACAGAUCAAAUGGUUGAGGACGCUAAUGCUCGUAUUUUUACAUUUGGGUCCUAUAGGCUCGGGGUGCAUGGUCCUGGGGCUGACAUAGACACGUUAUGUGUUGGGCCAUCCUAUGUCAAUCGAGAGGAAGACUUCUUCUUUGUAUUGCACAACAUUCUUGCUGAGAUGGAAGAGGUGACCGAGCUGCAACCAGUUCCAGAUGCUCAUGUCCCUGUAAUGAAAUUUAAGUUUGACGGAAUAUCGAUCGACCUCCUUUAUGCUAGUAUUUCUCUCUUGGUUGUACCAGAAGACCUGGACAUUUCUGAUGUAUCUUUGUUGUACAAUAUCGAUGAGCCUACUGUUCGAAGUCUUAAUGGCUGCAGGGUCGCAGAUCAAAUUUUAAAGCUUGUUCCAAAUGUUGAGCACUUUUGCACAACACUCAGAUGCUUGAAAUUUUGGGCGAAAAGACGCGGUGUUUAUUCCAAUGUUACUGGAUUUCUUGGCGGAGUAAACUGGGCUCUUCUUGUUGCCCGGGUUUGCCAACUUUAUCCCAAUGCAGUUCCCAGCAUGCUUGUUUCUCGAUUCUUUAGGGUCUAUACACAGUGGCGGUGGCCAAAUCCUGUCAUGUUGUGUCCCAUUGAAGAGGAUGAACUUGGCUUUUCUGUUUGGGACCCUCGCAGAUAUCCUCGUGACCGGACUCAUCAUAUGCCAAUUAUAACUCCUGCAUACCCUUGUAUGAAUUCUAGCUAUAAUGUUUCACAAAGUACUCUGCGUGUUAUGGUCGAGCAGUUCUGUUACGGAAACAAGACCUGUGAGGAAGUGGAAUUGAAUAGAGCUCAAUGGUGUGCAUUGUUUGAGCCGUACAUGUUCUUUGAAAGCUACAAAAACUAUCUCCAGGUUGACAUAAUUGCUGCUGAUGUUGACGACUUGCGUGCUUGGAAAGGCUGGGUGGAAUCUCGACUGAGGCAACUAACUCUAAUGAUUGAACGGGAUACUUUAGGGAUGUUACAGUGCCAUCCUUGUCCACAUGAGUAUGUUGAUACGAAUAAAGAAUGCGCACAUUGUGCAUUUUUUAUGGGUUUGCAGAGGAAACAGGGUGAAAAGGUUCAGGGUCAGCAGUUUGAUAUACGAGGGACUGUUGAUGGGUUCAGGCAUUCCAUUAAUAUGUACAUGUUUUGGAAACCAGGGAUGGAAAUUCAUGUAUCUCAUGUUCGUAGAAGGCAACUUCCUCCUUAUGUGUAUCCUGAUGGUUGUAAACGACCUCGACAAUCCAGAGUUAUGGUCCAGCAGCAGGCUGAUGAUGGCGAAGCUUGUGGGAGUGGUUCUAGUGAGAGACACCUGAAGAGGAAGGAUCUUGAUGGGGUGGAGGUGAAUCAAGAUACUCCACCGCAGAAAUGGCAAUCUACUAGCCCUCUGCCCCAUGGUUCGGUUUCUCCUGUAAUUAUCAAUCACAAGGCAGGCAGUGCAUCUCCAGAGCCUUCGGAUAAAGGUUUUAGCAUGGAAGUAGUAGAGUCAAAUAAAAUAACACUGUCUGGUGAAAUGGAGCCUGGAUAUGCCUCCAAUUCCAGUACUAUUACAAAUGUUUCAAGCAAGGGCAGUUGUGAUGAUGCUGGAUUUGGAUCAGUGGCUGGUAGCUGUGAGGGGAACACUAGGAGCGUUGAGGGAAGCAGUGUUGGGACAACCCAGGAUAUUUGCUGGGUGAUGUGUGUGAGGCAGACUCCGAAGCUCUUUCGGAUAGUGGAUGCGUAAAUGGAAACCUACGUAAAAAGGUGAAUGCUGCACUUGGGAUGGUUGGUACUAAAUUCCAACGAGGGAUAACUCAGAACAAAUAACAGGGUUGGGGUUGAGCCUAACAUCAAUGGCCUGAGCAUGUUGGAUCUUUGUGGAUUUUUCUGAAAUUAAGGAGCUUCAAUUAAUGAGAGGACGAAAGCCAGCAGCUCGGGUAAGUGUUCUUUUUAUUGCUGGCUUUCAUUUCGUUCUUUACCAGGCAUGCUCGUCUAUACAACCUUGUGGUCAAAGCCAAGAGAUUCGAACGGGAAGUUUGUCUUUUUGUACAAUUUACUUCUUUAGCAUUUAUGAAUUAUGCUUAUCUGCUCAACUUUUGAGCUUUGGAAGAGUCUUAAGAGAAUUUAUUCAAUUGCUCGCUGAACUUCUGCAGAUAGGCAUUAGUUUUUUACUUUUAGUCGUCUGGGCGGGUGUGGCCAAAGGUUUUUACACUUCGUAGGUACACUGGAUCUAGGGAAAAAAAAAAAAAAAAACCAAAAAAAUUGAAAAAGGAAAAAGAGUUCGCUAUGUAAGGUGCUCAAUGUGCACUGGCCUUUGUGUUCUGAGUUUGAGUGGGACCACUGUUGAGGUUUGUCUGAUCUUCAAUGUUUGUACAUUCUAUCCUAUGUAAUGAAUAUUGAAAAUGUCUCCGUCUCCA